UGACUAUGCCUUCCACGAUAUAGCAUCAUUUGCUGUAAUGAAAAUCAAUGCAGUUUUCCUUAUAAACAUAUGCACUCAAGCUUUAUAUUCAUUCUACCAUGCCAUAGGCAAAUUAAAACAAAAACUUCUCAAAAUUACUUUCAAAAUGGCAAAAGCUUCCUUGUUACUUCCUUACUUGCUUCUCUUAUUUAUCGUAGUCUCUGAAUCUGGGGAAUCUGGCAUGGUUGAGAGAAGUAAUUCAUGUGUGAGGGAUCGAGAUUGCCAAUAUUUGUUUUGUCCCCGAUUUCCAAGGCCCUGCACAAAGGAAUGCAUUGAUGGAGGUUGCGGUUGCAAUUGCCAUCCACCAGCAAUGAAACAAGUCUGAUCUUUACAAUACAUGCAAUUAUAUAU